rnacentral:rRNA from 1 species
GACAGAGGGUGCAAACGUUGUUCGGAAUUACUGGGCGUAAAGCGUGUGUAGGCGGCUACAUAAGUCGGAUGUGAAAGCCCCGGGCUCAACCCGGGAAGUGCACUCGAUACUGCGUAGCUUGAGUCUCGGAGAGGUUGGUGGAAUUCUCGGUGUAGAGGUGAAAUUCGUAGAUAUCGAGAGGAACACCGGUGGCGAAGGCGGCCAACUGGACGAAGACUGACGCUGAGACACGAAAGCGUGGGGAGCAAAC